rnacentral:rRNA from 1 species
GGCGGCUCCAAACUCCUCUCCUCUCCAGCGCAAACAUCCCUCUCCCCGGCUCCCUUUCCUCUUCUUGGCCGGACGGACACCCACCCACCCCGAGCGAGCGCCUCCUCCAGAUUGUCCUGCAAAAAUACUGCAUUUUAUGAUCGGAGAACUUGUGAGGAGCUCCUAGAAGAAGAGCCAAGUUGAUCCUGCAAAAUUGGAUAGCUGGUCCGGCAGGGCUGGCUUCAGAAGAUCAGCCACGGCUCUAAGGAGAGUAACCCGUGUUACACCAAGAAGGGAAAGGCAAUGUGUCCAUCGCUUUCCUAAGUUUCUGCUUGCAUCGCCUUCUUUCCACGGUGGCCGUGGUGCCCUCCCAUCUGCAGGGGGGCAUCCUUCUGAUCUGACCUACCUUGCUGGUGGUGGUGCUGCACAAUUCUGAAGUAGGCCUUUAGCAUCAUAGUUAGUUCAGUUAGUAGUCCAUAAUAUUAAGAGUUGUAAGUAUGGUGUCGGCCACCAAACUAGAAGGUGGAUAUUGUUUUCACAGCAAGAACUCUCCUCUCGAUCAACCUGAAGGUGUGAAGAUACAUCUUUACCGUCUUGGAAUAGAACAGCGUGAACAUGAUGCCCUCAAAAGCUUUGCAUGUGCUGGUGAAGGCAGCCCAAGUUUACUUGAUACAAUCAUUCUUUCUCAGUGGGAGAACUUUGCUCAGAAGGGCCAGUUGGGAUAUGAUGUUACUACUUGCGAACUUAAGGUCAUUGAAGGUCAAAGGGAUUUUGUUAUUCAGAUGAAUGAUAAAUGGAAUUCAUUUUCCCUCAAGAAAUAUGACAAGUUCGGCCAUCCUUUCGGAUGCUUGAAGCCAAAUUCUGCUAGAAGCUACGAGGAAUUACUUUUGUGCAUCGCAGAAGGAGAAAAUAAUGAACCGGAGGUUGUUCCUUCGAUUACACCCCCAAACAAUGGAGUACUGCUGAUCGCGAAUGCAUAUCCUGUUGAAUAUGGUCACAUUUUCUUGGUCCCAAAUGCAACUAAUCAGCUAUCUUCCUUUUGGGAUAAAAGGAUGUUUGGGCUGAUUACAAAGAUUGCCUCUGAAGUAAACAGUGCAGCGUUCCGGGUUUUCUUUGAUGAUGGUACAUCUAUUGUGCCAAAGCACAUGUUUUUUCAGGCCUGUUACUUUGCCAAUCCUUUACCAGUGGAGUCUUCCUCAACUGUUGCAUUAUAUGAUGGGGCAACCAGAUCAGGCAUUUGUGUGUCUGAAAUAGUUGAUUACCCUCUAAAAGCACUUGUGUUCACGAGCACCAAUGUAAAUGCACUUGUCGAUGUAGUGAGUGAAGCAUGCUUGGCUUUGCAUGAGAACAAUACUGUGCACAGCCUAAUGAUGUCCAACAACGGCAGAAAUGUUUUCUUAUUCCCCCAGGUGAAAAAUCUGGUCACUGGCUGCUGUCUUUCUGCCUGGGAGUGCUGUGGCUACUUUGUUUAUCACACCAAAGUUGAUUUCGACCGAGCUUCU